rnacentral:rRNA from 1 species
GAUGAACGCUGGCGGCGUGCCUAAUACAUGCAAGUCGAGCGAACGGACGAGAAGCUUGCUUCUCUGAUGUUAGCGGCGGACGGGUGAGUAACACGUGGAUAACCUACCUAUAAGACUGGGAUAACUUCGGGAAACCGGAGCUAGUACCGGAUAAUAUUUUGAACCGCAUGGUUCAAAAGUGAAAGACGGUCUUGCUGUCACUUAUAGAUGGGUCCGCGCUGCAUUAGCUAGUUGGUAAGGUAACGGCUUACCAAGGCAACGAUGCAUAGCCGACCUGAGAGGGUGAUCGGCCACACUGGAACUGAGACACGGUCCAGACUCCUACGGGAGGCAGCAGUAGGGAAUCUUCCGCAAUGGGCGGAAGCCUGACGGAGCAACGCCGCGUGAGUGAUGAAGGUCUUCGGAUCGUAAAACUCUGUUAUUAGGGAAGAACAUAUGUGUAAGCAACUGUGCACAUCUUGACGGUACCUAAUCAGAAAGCCACGGCUAACUACGUG